GGGCCCAUAGCUCAGUGGUAGAGUGCCUCCUUUGCAAGGAGGAUGCCCAGGGUUCGAAUCCCCUGUGGGUCCA
rnacentral:tRNA from 2 species